AGCAGCCGCGGUAAUUCCAGCUCCAAUAGCGUAUAUUAAAGUUGUUGCAGUUAAAAAGCUCGUAGUUGAAUUUCGGGAUCAAUACGUCGGUCAUGCUUUUUGGUACGAACUGGCGUCAUUGGUUUCUCCUUUCUGACGAACCAUGAUGUCAUUAAUUUGGUGUUAUGGGGAGUUUGGGACUGUUACUUUGAAAAAUUAGAGUGUUUAAAGCAGGCAUAAGCUUGAAUACAUUAGCAUGGAAUAAUGAAAUAGGACGUUUGAUCCUAUUUUGUUGGUUUCUAGGAUCAACGUAAUGAUUAAUAGGGAUAGUUGGGGGCAUUAGUAUUCAAUUGUCAGAGGUGAAAUUCUUGGAUUUAUUGAAGACUAACUACUGCGAAAGCAUUUGCCAAGGAUAGUUUUCAUUAAUCAAGAACGAAAGUUAGGGGAUCGAAGACGAUCAGAUACCGUCGUAGUCUUAACCAUAAACUAUGCCGACUAGGGAUCGGAUGAUGUUAAUUUUUAAUGUAACUCAUUCGGCGUC
rnacentral:rRNA from 1 species